AUUGAACGCUGGCGGCAGGCCUAACACAUGCCAGUCGAGCGAGCGGCGGACGGGUGAGUAAUGUCUGGGACACUGCCUGAUGGAGGGGGAUAACUACUGGAAACGGUAGCUAAUACCGCAUACCAUCGGAUGUGCCCAGAUGGGAUUAGCUUGUAGGUGAGGUAACGGCUCACCUAGGCGACGAUCCCUAGCUGGUCUGAGAGGAUGACCAGCCACACUGGAACUGAGACACGGUCCAGACUCCUACGGGAGGCAGCAGUGGGGAAUAUUGAACAAUGGUCGCAAGCCUGAUGCAGCCAUGCCGCGUGUAUGAAGAAGGCCUGCGGGUUGUAAAGUACUUGCAGCGGGGAGGCGUGACCCGCAGAAGAAGCACCGGCUAACUCCGUGCCAGCCGCCGCGGUAAUUC
rnacentral:rRNA from 1 species